CGGGGUGUAGCGCAGCUUGGUAGCGCAUCUGCUUUGGGAGCAGAGGGCCGCUGGUUCGAAUCCAGUCACCCCGACCA
rnacentral:tRNA from 1 species